rnacentral:rRNA from 1 species
AUCUUCCGCAAUGGGCGAAAGCCUGACGGAGCAACGCCGCGUGAGUGAUGAAGGGUUUCGUCGCGUAAAACUCUGUUAUUAGGGAAGAACAAAUGUGUAAGGAACUGUGCACAUCUUGACGGUAUCUAAUCAGAAAGCCACGGCUAACUACGUGCCCGCAGCCGCGGUAAUACGUAGGUGGCAAGCGGUCUCCGGAAUUAUUGGGCGUAAAGCGAGCGUAGGCGGUUUCUUAAGUCUGAUGUGAAAGCCCACGGCUCAACCGUGGAGGGUCAUUGGAAACUGGGAAACUUGAGUGCAGAAGAGGAAAGUGGAAUUCCAUGUGUAGCGGUGAAAUGCGCAGAGAUAUGGAGGAACACCAGUGGCGAAGGCGACUUUCUGGUCUGUAACUGACGCUGAUGUGCGAAAGCGUGGGGAUCAAACA